GGAAAAAAAUAUAAACUAAAUAUUUUUAGUUGGCAGAAAUUUAGUUGAAGUAAUUAAUUUUUAGUUAGAUUUACUUAAAUGGUAUAGUAAACUGAACUAGAAUUUUAUAGUUAAAAAAUAUAAUUAUUCUACUGAUAAAGUUAGUUGAAGUAACUAAAAUGGUGUGGUUAUUUAAGAGUUUCACUAGAUUGUUUAGUUGGAUCUACUAUACGUUUAGUUAAUUUUGUUUAAUCUCUGGAUCCCCGCUCGCGCCUUUCGCAGUCGCCAGUCUGUCUAGUGUCUACCGUAGUCCCUUCGAGUCCCGUCACAACAACUAGUCACAAGCCGUCUGCCGACGUUAAUCCGUAACCGUUAAACAUUGUUACUCGUAAAAUUGCAUUGCUUUAAAUUUCAAUGGACGACUUCACUAAAAAUAUUUUAUCCGUAUGGGGAUUUGAAGAUAUGAUUGAAAAAUUUAAAGGUAAAUAUUUCAAUCAAAACAUAAACAGCUUAAAGAAACUGCUAAAUCAAUUACAUCUCGUAAGAACUCUCCUUAUACUUUAGCAUUGAAACAUCAACUUAGUUUGGCAUACAGAGUUUUGUCAUCAAAUAAUAAUAUUAUUGAUAUGCAGUUUGGUCGUCAAAUAACUCUUUCGGAAACUACAAGGCACGAGUAUAGUAAAGUUGAAUUUUUAUGUUCUCCUUUUGAAUUUUUAGAAAAUGCAAUAUUUGUUUCAUGGGUUGAUUUUAAAGGAACCACUUACAAUAGCAAUAAUAUGUCUGUUCUUAUUAAUUUCAGUGAUAAUCCAAAUAUUUUACCAAUUUUUGGACUAAUUUUAUCUAUAUUUAUUCAAACCAAUAAUAUACCAUUUUUUAUUUGUAAGAUUUAUGAGAAUAAAUAUUUUGAUGAGCAUUUCCAAGCAUAUAAUGUGCAAUUAACUGAAAAAUUAAUUUGUUGUUCAGUUGAACAAUUAGACUGUGUACAUCCCACUGUUCAUUGUGUCUUAUCAAAUGGUUUAUCUUAUAUAUCUUCAUAAACAUAUGUAAUACAAAAAUUUUAUGUAUCUACUAUCUACUAUGUAUAAAAAAACAUUUCUUUAUUAAUAAAUAUUUUAUUAUUCUUAA